GCAAAUGAAGCUGCAGAUUGUAUUUGUCCCAUGAUAUAUGACCCUGUGUGUUCCGCAAGUGGAAAAACUUUUCCAAACCAAUGUACAAUGAACUGCUAUGCUGGAGAAGUUUUAGCAACACGUGGUGUUUGUGUUACUAGGAAGUAGGCGUAACAAUCUACAAUGGACUGGUAUUUGAUACGAAAGACUGGAUACAUUGGACUUGAAUUUUGCU